rnacentral:rRNA from 1 species
AUGGAGAGCUGUAGCAUAGUAGCCAGGAUAAUGGGAUUGCAAGGCCUAGCUAUGUACCGGCACAAGUUGUGUUCUCUAGUCUUCAGAUCUUUGCCCAGGCUGCUGCUAGGCUUCCCUCCCAGCUCAAUCAGGAAAUUCUUCAGAGACCAACAUGUUCAUGUGGCACUGUCAGAGACCAAGAUGGCGGCCACAUUGCCGGAGCUGCCGCAGGACAUCCUGAUGGUUAUCUUUGCCGCUCUCGAGAUCCCCGAUCUCGUGCGCGCUGGCUCCGUCUGUUCAUCCUGGCACUCCGCAUACGCCGAGCUACGCACCCUUGGGAAGUACAAGAAGGGUCAGACGCCUUGCCUGGUUUACACCUCUGAAUCUGAUCCUGAUGAUAUUUUGUCCCUCUACAGCCUCGCCGAGAAGAGAUCCUACAAGUUAACUCUGCCGCAGCCAGCUAUCCGCAGCAGGUAUUUGAUUGGGUCCUCACAUGGCUGGCUCGUUACUGUCGACGAGAGGUCUGAGAUGCACCUUCUGAAUCCAAUCACCUGUGAACAGAUUGCUCUCCCUUCAGUGGCUACCAUUGAGCAUUUGAAGCCCAUAUUUGAUGAGCAUGGUGAUGUCUGCAAGUAUGAGAUGUCAUCGCACACUGGACUGUGCAGUAGCCGUAAUCCAACCAUCUUUGCUCUUGCCGAGCUGAGGGAUAGACUCCAGUGGAAGGCAUUUGUAUUUCCUGAUACAUCCACAGGAAGCUACAUUGUGGUGCUCAUCCACAAUCCACAAGCUCAGCUCUCAUUUGCAAAGGCAGGGGAUGAUAAGUGGACCUGGUUACCGUCUCAUUUGCUUUUCGAGGACUGCACUUACAAGGAUGGCAUAUUGUAUGCAGUCAAUACAAUGGGAGAAAUCCACGCGUUCGAUCUUAGUGGCCCUGUGGUCACUGUAAAGACGAUUAUAAGGGUACCUGAGCAUUAUGAUUGUGAUAGCAGGUAUAUCGUUCAAGCUCCAUGGGGCAGUCUGCUACUUGUGUUUAGAAUAGUUCAUGACCAUGAUUUAGAAUAUGAGUACUGGAAGACUACAGAAACUAAAAUAUGUGAGAUUGAUGCUCUGUGGAAUAAAAUUGAGCUAACCAAUUGCUUGUGUGACCAUGUGUUAUUUCUUGGUCAUAACCUAUCACUAUGCCUCAGUGCUGAUGAGUAUCCUGCUCUCAAGGCAAAUCAUUCCUAUUUUACCGAUGAUAAUUUUCUAUGGACAAUGGGCCAUAAGAAUAAUCAUCGUGAUAUGGGAAUUCUUAACUUGGAUGAUAGCAGCAGGGAGGAACUUGUGCCUCAGCUUUGGUCCAACUGUCCGGCUCCAAUGUGGAUUAUUCCUGAUCUUACAAAGAUGUGGCGAUGGGCUCAAUGA